GUGCUUGCUUCAGCAGCACAUACACUAAAAUUGGAACGAAAUAGAGAUUAGCAAGGCCCCUGUGCAAGGAUGACAUGCAAAUUCGUGAAGCAUUCCAUUAAAAA